CUUCAUCGUCAACCUCUGGACCAGAAAUGGCGGGAAUCGCCUGCAUCGCGAGGCCUUCUCCGAUCACUCUGCGCUCGCCGGCGACUCUCGGCUUCCACCUCCCCGUCCGCGUUCUCUUCCACCUCCCCAAAGCUCGUCGCGCGCGAUGGUGUCGCUCUCUGAAAUCGGUCGGCGAGGAGGGAAGCACCGGACCCGCGCCGAAGUUGAUCAAGCUCGCCGUGAGCGGAGUCACGGAGAUUCUCAGGGUCUUGUCUCCCGCGAAGGACGGCAGUUCGGAGAGUGUGAGUGACGACGAAAGGGACGGGGACGGGGUUUCUGCUUCCAGCGUCGAUGAUGUCGUGAUGAUCCUCACGUCUGAUUAUGAGAAGGCUUAUUUUGUCACAGGAGUUUUUACUUCUGCAAUUUAUGCUGAAGAUUGCAUUUUUGAAGAUCCAACAAUUAGAUUCCGGGGUAAGGGUCUGUAUGAGCGCAACUUGAAAUUACUUGUUCCUUUCUUUGACCGUCCAUCGAUAAUGUUACACAGUAUACAAAAGGUACUUUGUAAUUUCAAAUCUGGUUCAGUGAUAGACAUAACUAGAGUAUCUUCAUCAGCCCACCCACUUUGAGGUCGAACUUGGCAUUUCUGUUGCCAUGAGUGUCGAAGAUAGCCACCAAUAUUUUUCCCAUUAGGCUGACUGGUGCUCUUUCUUUGAUACCCAGUGCUAGGGCUUCCCUUCCUUUCUGCGGGAUCUUGCAUAUGCACAUUUGUGACUCCAUAUUUUUGCAUACAAACUUGAGAAAAUUUAACCCACUAGUGAGAAUAUUAAUCGUUACUUAAGGAAAAUAAGAGAUUUCCAAGUCUCAUUUUCAGUACAAAUGAUGAUAUAUAUAAUUCUUUCAUAAUUCUGUCUCAAUGAAUUCUCAGGACAUGUCAUUGCUUGCUAGCAUUUGUUUGGAACUUGCAAAUGCUCAAUAAGAUCAAGUCUGUCUUAUGACUUGCGAAAUUAGUGAAUUUGUUUCGAUUACUGGCUCAUAUGUGUAAAGCUAAAGUAAUUAAUACCAGAUUCUGCAGAUUUGUUUCAUCAUUGUUCUGAAUCCGGGUUCUUAUUUGCUGCUGAUUUACCUAUAUCCACAGGGUGAUGAUGAGACUUACAUUCUGGCUGGAUGGAAGCUCAGGUACUUCAAUUGAUCACUGUUUACAUCCUCCACUAUUUGCUCUUUCCUCCAAGGGAUCGGACCUGGCAAUAAAAUAGAACCUACUUAAAACUUCCGUGGAGACCUAUCAUUUCGAUUGAUGGGAAGACUGUUUAUGAACUUGACGACAACUUUGCAAUAGUUAGACAUGCCGAAAGUUGGAAUGUUUCAGCUUUAGAAGCAAUUGGCC